AACAGGAUUAGAUACCCUGGUAGUCCACGCCGUAAACGAUGAGUGCUAAGUGUUGGGGGCUUUCCGGCCCUCGGUGCUGGAGCUAACGUAUUAAGCACUCCGCCUGGGGAUUACGACCGCAAGGUUGAAACUCAAAAGAAUUGACGGGGACCCGCACAAGCGGUGGAGCAUGUGGUUUAAUUCGAAGCAACGCGAAGAACCUUACCAGCUCUUGACAUCUUCUGACAACUCUAGAGAUAGAGCGUUCCCUUCGGGGACAGAAUGACAGGUGGUGCAUGGUUGUCGUCAGCUCGUGUCGUGAGAUGUUGGGUUAAGUCCCGUAACGAGCGCAACCCUUGUUGUUAGUUGCCAGCAUUAAGUUGGGCACUUUAACGAGACUGCCGGUGAUAAACCGGAGGAAGGCGGGGAUGACGUCAAAUCAUCAUGCCCCUUAUGAGCUGGGCUACACACGUGCUACAAUGGAUGGUACAACGAGCAGCGAUCCCGCAAGGGCUAGCUAAUCUUUCAAAGCCAUUCUCAGUUCGGAUUGCACUCUGCAACUCGAGUGCAUGAAGUCGGAAUCGCUAGUAAUCGCGAAUCAGAAUGUCGCGGUGAAUCCGUUCCCGGGUCUUGUACACACCGCCCGUCACACCACGAGAGUUUGAAACACCCGAAGUCGGCCGGCCAACCCUAUGGGAGGCAGCCGUCGAAGUGGGUUGAAUGAUUGGGGUGAAGUCGUAACAAGGUAGCCGUAUCGGAAGGUGCGGCUG
rnacentral:rRNA from 1 species